UGAGAGAGAAGAAAUGAAGUCCUCCCGCCAAAGGGUGAAGUUCGAAGCGGGAAGGAAAAUCUGUAUCGAACUUGGAGAAAAGAUCGCUCACUUGUCACGAUCUUCAAAGCUUGUGGACGGGCUUGGUACCUUGAAAUUGUAGUUUCCAGCUUUGCUCUCCAUUUAUUUUGUCUAUAUCUCUGGUGUUUUCCACUGUUACGGAGGUGCUGCUCUAUUCCAACGAAUUGUCGUUGAUUUGAUGUGAAUGGACCUAACAUGGGUUCCUCUAGUGGUAGAUUUUAUCAGGCAAGCUCUUUUGCUUCUCAAUCUAUGAAGCUUCCAGAUGUGUUAAUGGAGAACGUCUUAAAUGAAUCCCUUUCCUGAAGAGAAAUUCAGCUACAUGGAUUUUAUGGCAUAGCUCUAUAAUAGACAUGUCUCGGCACCAUAUAUUGAGCUUUGGUAUGUGGAAUGGAACUUAGCUUUUACGUUAAAACAUGUUUGUAGAGCAUUUAUCUCCUGCCAACUGAAGUUCCUUCGUUGAAGAAUCUUACUUCCAUCAUCUGUUUUCCUCCAUUAUCUAUUUCAUAGUUUGCAGUGCCAGGAUUAUGAUGCUUCUUAGAAAGUUCUAAGCAUCCGACUCUGAACUUAUAUUGCCACUUGACUUCUGUUAUUUCAGUAUUGCAUUCUUGUCUUUAUAUUGCAAUGUAUAUUACUUCUUAUCUGCACAAAAUUACUAGUUUGUGAACUGUCAUAUAGGAUGCUAAUUAGAGCAUUUUAGAACUUGUAAGCUUAUGAAAUUGUUUCCUCCGGAGAAAUUUUCAAGAUCUAUACUUGAU